rnacentral:rRNA from 1 species
GACGGAGGGUGCUAGCGUUGUUCGGAAUGACUGGGCGUAAAGGGAGCGUAGGCGGCGUGGUAAGUCAGAUGUGAAAUCCCGGGGCUCAACCCCGGAACUGCAUCCGAUACUGCCAUGCUUGAGGGUUGGAGAGGUAGCUGGAAUUAUCGGUGUAGCAGUGAAAUGCGUGGAUAUCGAUAGGAACACUCGUGGCGAAGGCGAGCUACUGGACAACAUCUGACGCUGAGGCUCGAAGGCUAGGGGAGCAAAAGGG